rnacentral:rRNA from 1 species
CCCUUAGAUGUCCCGGGCCGCACGCGUGCUACACUGACACUUGCAACGAGUACUUUGCUUUACCGAAAGGUAAUGCUAAUCAUCAAUAAGUGUCGUGAUGGGGAUAGAUCUUUGGAAUUAUGGAUCUUGAACGAGGAAUGCCUAGUAAGCGUAGGUCAUUAGCCUACGCUGAUUAAGUCCCUGCCCUUUGUACACACCGCCCGUCGCUCCUACCGAUUUCGAGUGGUCCGGUGAAACUUUUGGACCGUGCGACUUUAUUGUUGUCACGGAAAGUCAGUUAAACCAUACUACUUAGAGGAAGGAGAAGUCGUAACA